UUAAGAAUCUUGCACAAUGGGCGCAAGCCUGAUGCAGCGACGCCGCGUGAAUGAUGAAGGCCUUCGGGUUGUAAAGUUCAGUAAGCAGGGAAGAAUAAGCAAGAGGUAAUAUUUCUUGUGAUGACGGUACCUGCCUAAAGCCCCGGCUAACUACGUGCCAGCAGCCGCGGUAAUACGUAUGGGGCGAGCGUUGUUCGGAAUUAUUGGGCGUAAAGGGCGUCUAGGCGGGAAAUUAAGUUAGGUGUGAAAGCUAUGGGCUCAACCCAUAAACUGCAUCUAAAACUGAUUUUCUUGAGUUCGGGAGAGGAGAGCGGAAUUCCAGGUGUAGCGGUGAAAUGCGUAGAUAUCUGGAAGAACACCAGUGGCGAAGGCGGCUCUCUGGCCUAGAACUGACGCUGAAGCGCGAAAGCGUGGGGAGCGAACAGG
rnacentral:rRNA from 1 species